GAAGCUUCGGCAAUGGGCGAAAGCCUGAAGGAGCGACGCCGCGUGGGGGAUGAAGGGUUUCGAUCCGUAAACCCCUGUCAUUUGUGAACAAUGGUUAUUAUUUAAAAGAUGAUGACUUGAUAGUAAUGAAAGAGGAAGGGACGGCUAACUCUGUGCCAGCAGCCGCGGUAAUACAGAGGUCCCGAGCGUUGUUCGGAUUCACUGGGCGUAAAGGGUGCGUAGGUGGCGAUGGAAGUUUGAUGUGAAAUCUCCGGGCUCAACCCGGAAAUGGCAUUGAAUACUCUAGCGCUUGAGGUUUGGAGGGGGGACUGGAAUUCUCGGUGUAGCAGUGAAAUGCGUAGAUAUCGAGAGGAACACCAGUGGCGAAGGCGGGUCCCUGGACAACACCUGACACUGAGGCACGAAAGCUAGGGGAGCAAACAG
rnacentral:rRNA from 1 species